rnacentral:rRNA from 1 species
GAUGAACGCUGGCGGCAUGCCUAACACAUGCAAGUCGAACGGACAGACGAGGAUCUUGUGCCUCUGAGGUUAGCGACGGGCGGGUGAGUGCCCCGUGGAUCAGCAACCUAUAUGUCUUGGGUAACUACGGGGCACCGGAGCUACUACCAGAUAAUAUAUUCCACCGGAGGGUUCAAUAGUGCAUGACGGUUUUGCUGUCACUUAUAGAUGGUUCCGCGCCGCAUUAGCGAGUUGGUAAGGUAACGGCUUACCAAGGCAACGAUGCGUAGCCGACCUGAGAGGGUGAUCGGCCACACUGGAACUGAGACACGGUCCAGACUCCUACGGGAGGCAGCAGUAGGGAAUCUUGCGCAAAGGGCGAAAGCCUGACGGAGCAACGCCGCGUGAGUGAUGAAGGUCUUCGGAUCGUAAAACUCUGUUAUUAGGGAAGAACAAAUGUGUAAGUAACUAUGGACGUCUUGACGGUACCUAAUCAGAAAGCCACGGCUAACUACGUG